GACAGAGGGGGCAAGCGUUGCUCGGAAUUACUGGGCGUAAAGGGUGCGUAGGCUGAUCCGAAAGUGCUUUGUGAAAUCCCCCGGCUCAACCGGGGAACAGCGGGGCAUACUGCGGGAUCUUGAGGCAGGUAGGCGCCGAGGGAACAGUAGGUGGAGCGGUGAAAUGCGUAGAUAUCUACUGGAACGCCGAUGGUGAAGACGCUCGGCUGGGCCUGUCCUGACGCUGGAGGCACGAAAGCGUGGGGAGCAAACAGG
rnacentral:rRNA from 1 species